AUUAAUUUUUUUUUUCCAGUUUUAAAAUUAUCACUUAUUUAGGUCCUUUAUACUAGGAUUGUACAAAAAAUCGACCAAUCGACUGACACCAACUCAGACCGGCCGUCGAAGUUUAGAACUGGCUGAAAUCAGUAAGGAACCGAUCGAUUGGCGGUGGUAAAUUAACAAAAUCGGUGUCGGCUGGUUCGGUUCGAGGUUUAAACCAGCCAAAAUAAAUAAAUCGGCCAAUGUCAACAACCUCUUUUUUUUAAUAUAUAUACCAUUAAUAAAAGACGCUGUUUCACUUAUAUAAGUGAAAUGACGUUAUUCUGCGAAUCUGCUUCUUUAGUUUAAAAAAAAAAAAAGGAACGGUGUCGUUUGGCUUAUGCCAAACGGCGUUGUUUCUACCUAGGGUUUAAACAACUCGUGCGUGCCCUCUACUUCUCAAUGUUUUCAUUCCAUCUCCAUUUCCGUUUUGAGCCUCAACAGACAAUUCUUCCCAAGCGGCAAGCGGCCAACCCUCUCAUUUGAUCCUCUCCACUCUCCGACGGCGGCAUCAGCAGUGGGCAGUGGCCCAGCCUUCCACAUCCCUCUGGCAAACGGUGCAUCCCACGCCCACAAUCAUUUUUUUUAGGUACCUGCUUUGGCCUUGGAGAAGAAAUUGUUUCAGAUUUUGAAUUUGUAGAUAUUUCUUUAAGAGGACUUACUAAUCGAGAUUUCAAUUGCUGAUAUGUUCGUCUCAUAAAGGAACAUGAGACUUUUGCUGGUGCUGACAUCUGGUUUGUUGUAGAAGUGGAAUUGCUAUUCUUGACAAAAACUUCAUCAAUUUUUGCGAAACAAGCAUGUGGCCUAUUCACAAAGGAGCAGUCCGAAUCAGAAGAUGGACUAGUAGCACUAUCCAUGUGAUAUAAGAGAUUAUCUGUCAUGUGUGGAUGUUGCCCGCAGUUUGAGUUUGAGUUUGAGGCAGGGAAGGAGGUUCUCCUAAGCCUUGUGAGAACAGCAAAUUUUUUCCAUCAAUUACUUAUCAUGAUCGUCUGCCUUGUGACGGGCUGCAACUGAGGCACUCUUCUAGAUAGAGAGAGGUGUACUCUUCUAGAUCUGCCAGUUGGAUCAACUUCAACAAACUUGGAGUAAUCCGAUUCAGGAUGUGCAAGACCAUUUACCUAGGCAACGUAAUCUGGAUCAACUUCAACAAACUCGACGGAACAAGGAGGUGAGAAGAGAGAGAGAGAGAGAGAGAGAGAGAGAGAGGCAGUUUGUUAUGGUUCUGACAGAAGCAACUAGAAGAAGAAGAAGAGAAGAGCAACUCGAAGUGCAAAGGGGUCUGGAGCUGUCGAACUAAUAUGAGAAGUGAAGGAAACGUGUACUGCUUUAUGUAUUAGCUAGGGUGCUACGCACCGUUUAAAUAAAUGUCAGUAGAGUUGUAAAACACAACCGUUUGGAAGUGUCUUCCAAACGGUGCGUUCAAGCUGUCACCUAUUAGCUAGUGAUAGUGGUAAUUUUAAUUUGUUUCAAUUCUGUUAGGGUGCAGCAUACUAAGGCAAGGAGAGGAAUGAGUGUGAGGCAUCUUGGGAAGAUUGUGGAAGUUGAAUUUUUGUAAGGAGGUUUGGGAGCCCUCGAAGUCACUCCCGUAGCAAUUCAUAGUGUAAUUUCCUUUUAGCAA